rnacentral:rRNA from 1 species
CGGGAAUUUUGGGCAAUGGGCGAAAGCCUGACCCAGCAACGCCGCGUGAGGGAUGAAGUAUUUCGGUAUGUAAACCUCGAAAGAAUGGGAAGAAUAAAUGACGGUACCAUUUAUAAGCUCCGGCUAACUACGUGCCAGCAGCCGCGGUAAUACGUAGGGAGCAAGCGUUGUUCGGAUUUACUGGGCGUAAAGGGCGCGUAGGCGGCGCGGUAAGUCACUUGUGAAAUCUCUGAGCUUAACUCAGAACGGCCAAGUGAUACUGCUGUGCUAGAGUGCGGAAGAGGCAACCGGAAUUCUUGGUGUAGCGGUGAAAUGCGUAGAUAUCAAGAGGAACACCUGAGGCGAAGGCGGGUUGCUGGGCCGACACUGACGCUGAUGCGCGAAAGCCAGGGGAGCAAAUG